rnacentral:sRNA from 1 species
CCACCUCGAUUUGCUGGGGACAGAUGAAGUGAAUGUGGGUGUCAAUACCGCCUGCAGUCAGGAUCAUGCCUUCCCCGGCGAUCGCCUCCGUCCCUGGCCCAAUGAUGAUAUUGAUGUUGUCCUGAAUGUAGGGGUUGCCUGCCUUGCCAAUUCUGGCGAUGCGACCAUCCUUAAUCCCGACAUCGGCUUUGACAAUUCCCCACCAAUCCAGGAUCAGGGCAUUGGUGAUCACGACAUCUACCGCACCAUUGGCAUUGGGAAUGGGAGAUUGCCCCAUGCCGUCUCG